rnacentral:rRNA from 1 species
GACGAACGCUGGCGGCGUGCUUAACACAUGCAAGUCGAACGAUGAAGCUGGAGCUUGCUCCGGUGGAUUAGUGGCGAACGGGUGAGUAACACGUGAGCAAUCUGCCCUUGACUCUGGGAUAACUGCGGGAAACUGUAGCUAAUACCGGAUACGACACCUUGGGGCAUCCCAGGGUGUGGAAAGAAUUUCGGUCAAGGAUGAGCUCGCGGCCUAUCAGCUAGUUGGUGAGGUAAUGGCUCACCAAGCCAACGAUCUGUAGCUGGUCUGAGAGGACGACCAGCCACACUGGAACUGAGACACGGUCCAGACUCCUACGGGAGGCAGCAGUGGGGAAUUUUGCACAAUGGGGGCAACCCUGAUGCAGCAACGCCGCGUGAGUGAUGAAGCAGUUUAUCUGUGUAAAGCUCUGUUGGGAGGGACGAACUAGCUGGUUAGUUGCCAGCUUUGACGGUACCU